CCUACGGGAGGCAGCAGUGGGGAAUAUUGGACAAUGGGGGAAACCCUGAUCCAGCGACGCCGCGUGAGGGAAGAAGGCUUUCGGAGUGUAAACCUCUGUCAGUGGGGACGAUAAUGACGGUACCCACGGAGGAAGCCACGGCUAACUACGUGCCAGCAGCCGCGGUAAUACGUAGGUGGCAAGCGUUGUCCGGAAUUACUGGGUGUAAAGGGAGCGUAGGCGGGAUGUCAAGUCCGAAGUGAAAAUUAUGGGCUCAACUCAUGAACUGCUUUUGAAACUGGUAUUCUUGAGUGAAGGAGAGGCAAGCGGAAUGCCUGGUGUAGCGGUGAAAUGCGUAGAUAUUAGGAGGAACACCAGUGGCGAAGGCGGCAUGCUGGGCUUUUACUGACGCUGAGGCUCGAAAGCGUGGGGAGCAAACAGGAUUAGAUACCCGGGUAGUC
rnacentral:rRNA from 1 species